rnacentral:rRNA from 1 species
CGUGCAGGCGGAAUAUCAGGUGCCUUGUGAAAGCCCCGGGCUCAACCCGGGAAUUGCUGGGCAAACCGGUAUUCUUGAGGCAAGUAGAGGUGACUGGAACAACUGGUGGAGCGGUGAAAUGCGUAGAUAUCAGUUGGAACGCCGGAGGCGAAAGCGGGUCACUGGGCUUGUCCUGACGCUCAGACGCGAAAGCGUGGGUAGCAAACAGGAUUAGAUACCCUGGUAGUCC